rnacentral:rRNA from 1 species
UACGGGGGGGGCAAGCGUUGUUCGGAAUUACUGGGCGUAAAGGGCUCGUAGGCGGCCAACUAAGUCAGACGUGAAAUCCCCAGGCUCAACCUGGGAACUGCGUCUGAUACUGGAUGGCUUGAAUUCGGGAGAGGGAUGCAGAAUUCCAGGUGUAGCGGUGAAAUGCGCAGAUAUCAGGAGGAACACCGGUGGCGAAGGCGGAUCUCUGGGCCUUACCUGACGCUCAGGUGCGAAAGCUAGGGGAGCGAACAGG